UACGGGGGGAGCAAGCGUUGUUCGGAUUUACUGGGCGUAAAGGGCGCGUAGGCGGCCACCGCAAGUCGACUGUGAAAUCUCCGGGCUUAACUCGGAAAGGUCAGCCGAUACUGCGGGGCUAGAGUGCAGAAGGGGCAACUGGAAUUCUCGGUGUAGCGGUGAAAUGCGUAGAUAUCAGGAAGAACACCCGUGGCGAAGGCGGCUCUCUGGGACGGUACUGACGCUGAGACGCGAAAGCGUGGGGAGCGAACAGG
rnacentral:rRNA from 1 species